rnacentral:rRNA from 1 species
UACGUAGGGUGCAAGCGUUGUCCGGAAUUAUUGGGCGUAAAGAGCGUGUAGGCGGCCCGACCAGUCCGCUGUGAAAGUCCAGGGCUCAACCCUGGAAUGCCGGUGGAUACUGUCGGGCUAGAGUCCGGAAGGGGCGAGUGGAAUUCCUGGUGUAGCGGUGAAAUGCGCAGAUAUCAGGAGGAACACCGGUGGCGAAGGCGGGUCUCUGGGCCGAUACUGACGCUGAGGAGCGCAAGCGUGGGGAGCGAACAGG